GUACUACUGAUGCAUCCCAAACUAGGACGAAACAGCUGUCUAGUAC
rnacentral:hammerhead_ribozyme from 1 species